rnacentral:rRNA from 1 species
CCUACGGGAGGCAGCAGUGAGGAAUAUUGGUCAAUGGACGAGAGUCUGAACCAGCCAAGCAGCGUGAAGGAUGACUGCUCUAUGGGUUGUAAACUGCUUUUAUAUGGGAAUAAAAUUUUCCACGUGUGUGAUUUUGUAUGUACCAUAUGAAUAAGGAUCGGCUAACUCCGUGCCAGCAGCCGCGGUAAUACGGAGGAUCCGAGCGUUAUCCGGAUUUAUUGGGUUUAAAGGGAGCGUAGGUGGAUUGUUAAGUCAGUUGUGAAAGUUUGCGGCUCAACCGUAAAAUUGCAGUUGAAACUGGCAGUCUAGAGUACAGUAGAGGUAGGCGGAAUUCGUGGUGUAGCGGUGAAAUGCUUAGAUAUCACGAAGAACUCCGAUUGCGAAGGCAGCUCACUGGACUGCAACUGACACUGAGGCUCGAAAGUGUGGGUAUCAAACAGGAUUAGAUACCCGGGUAGUC